rnacentral:rRNA from 1 species
CGUAAUGAUGGCCAGGCUGUCUCCACCCGAGACUCAGUGAAAUUGAACUCGCUGUGAAGAUGCAGUGUACCCGCGGCAAGACGGAAAGACCCCGUGAACCUUUACUAUAGCUUGACACUGAACAUUGAGCCUUGAUGUGUAGGAUAGGUGGGAGGCUUUGAAGUGUGGACGCCAGUCUGCAUGGAGCCGGCCUUGAAAUACCACCCUUUAAUGUUUGAUGUUCUAACGUUGACCCGUGAUCCGGGUUGCGGACAGUGUCUGGUGGGUAGUUUGACUGGGGCGGUCUCCUCCUAAAGAGUAACGGAGGAGCACGAAGGUUGGCUAAUCCUGGUCGGACAUCAGGAGGUUAGUGCAAUGGCAUAAGCCAGCUUGACUGCGAGCGUGACGGCGCGAGCAGGUGCGAAAGCAGGUCAUAGUGAUCCGGUGGUUCUGAAUGGAAGGGCCAUCGCUCAACGGAUAAAAGGUACUCCGGGGAUAACAGGCUGAUACCGCCCAAGAGUUCAUAUCGACGGCGGUGUUUGGCACCUCGAUGUCGGCUCAUCACAUCCUGGGGCUGAAGUAGGUCCCAAGGGUAUGGCUGUUCGCCAUUUAAAGUGGUACGCGAGCUGGGUUUAGAACGUCGUGAGACAGUUCGGUCCCUAUCUGCCGUGGGCGCUGGAGAACUGAGGGGGGCUGCUCCUAGUACGAGAGGACCGGAGUGGACGCAUCACUGGUGUUCGGGUUGUCAUGCCAAUGGCACUGCCCGGUAGCUAAAUGCGGAAGAGAUAAGUGCUGAAAGCAUCUAAGCACGAAACUUGCCCCGAGAUGAGUUCUCCCUGACUCCUUGAGAGUCCUGAAGGAACGUUGAAGACGACGACGUUGAUAGGCCGGGUGUGUAAGCGCAGCGAUGCGUUGAGCUAACCGGUACUAAUGAACCGUGAGG